CCAGAUGAACAUUGUCUAUAAGAAAUCCUCUGGAGGAUUCUCUGUCCACUUUUCCAUUGCCAUAGCCCAGUGAUUAUAAGACCACGAUCUGUCUUUGAGAACAACUUCCAGAUCUUCUUCCCUAUCGAAAACAAACUGAAAUCUCUCACGAGACAGAGAAAUUCCAUGAACUCUACCCUCCAUUCUCCAAGCCGUUGGCAUGUAGUCAAUCAUACGAGCCAUAGAUUGAC
rnacentral:lncRNA from 1 species